GCUUCGUUGGUGUAGUCGGUUAUCACGUCGGUCUCAUAGUAAGCUAUGACUGCUAGUUUCUAGUAGAUAUCCGAAGGCCGCCAGUUCGAAUCUGGCACGGAGCA
rnacentral:tRNA from 1 species